GAAAAUAUUUUUAUUUGAUCGUGAAGGCACUUAGCUGCGGAGAAGAACAGGACAAUUUUGUUUGGCCAAUUGAAGUUCCCUUAAUUGGAAGAUUUUGUCUACCAAAGAGUCGUUGCAGUGUAGAGACAGUAAGAAAAUGUCAGCUUGUCUAUUAUGCCUACAAUUACAAGAAAGUAGAUGAACGAGGCUUCAAGCACAAUGAUACAGAUUCAUAGUUUUGACUACAAGUCGGAGAGGAAAGAGUUGGAAGAAAGAACUAGAAAAGCUAAUGUGAAAACAAGUCAUUCAGAAGCUCUCGUUUCGGACAUGGAGCUCACUCUCUUGCAAGUGCUCGUGUAGCUCCCUCUCCUUGAUCUCAAAUUCUACCAAGGAGCAUCGUCAAUUGAGCAUAAGAGAAAUUUUAAUGACGUAUUUAUCGU